UACGUAGGGUGCGAGCGUUGUCCGGAAUUAUUGGGCGUAAAGAGCUUGUAGGCGGUCUGUCGCGUCUGCUGUGAAAAUCCGGGGCUCAACCCCGGACUUGCAGUGGGUACGGGCAGACUAGAGUGUGGUAGGGGAGACUGGAAUUCCUGGUGUAGCGGUGAAAUGCGCAGAUAUCAGGAGGAACACCGAUGGCGAAGGCAGGCCUCUGGGCCGAUACUGACGCUGAGGAGCGAAAGCGUGGGGAGCAAACAGG
rnacentral:rRNA from 1 species